GUACACGCUGUGACUAGCAUAUCAAUAAGCGGAGGAAAAGAAACUAACAAGGAUUCCCCUAGUAACGGCGAGUGAAGCGGGAAGAGCUCAAAUUUGAAAUCUUAAAGGGUUUCCCUUUACGAAUUGUAGUUUAAAGAAGUGUUUUUCUGUUGAGGUUUUGGUAAAAGUUCUUUGGAAUAGGACAUCAUAGAGGGUGAGAAUCCCGUAUUUGACCUUUACUUUCAACUUUGUGAUACACUUUCAAAGAGUCGGAUUGUUUGGGAAUGCAGUCCAAAAUGGGUGGUAAAUUUCAUCUAAAGCUAAAUAUUGGCGAGAGACCGAUAGCGAACAAGUACCGUGAGGGAAAGAUGAAAAGAACUUUGAAAAGAGAGUUAAACAGUACGUGAAAUUGUCAAAAGGGAAGCGUUUGACACCAGUGUUGUUUUCUGAAAAUCAAUUAAAGAACUGUUUAUGCUAAGCUGUUUAGACUUUAUCAGCUAAUCUGUUUAGUUUUGAGCUUUUCUUUAAUGCACUUUUCAGUUAACAAGUCAACAUCAAUUUCUUUUGCUGUAAAAAAGCUUGAGGAAGGUGGCUUGAGAUUCGUCUUAAGUGUUUAUAGCCUCUUGCCUAUGCAGUCGGAGAGAUUGAGGUCUGCAGCGUAGAUCCUUCGGGGCUAAAUGCAUUUGUGCUAAGUUAUAGCAUUUUAUAGACAACUUGUUGACUAUGAUUUGUCUUGUAGCUUACUCGCUUAUGUUAUUUUACCUACGCUUAGGAUGUUGAAGAUGUAGCACAUCAU
rnacentral:rRNA from 1 species